GAUGAACGCUGGCGGCGUGCCUAAUACAUGCAAGUCGAGCGAACGGACGAGAAGCUUGCUUCUCUGAUGUUAGCGGCGGACGGGUGAGUAACACGUGGAUAACCUACCUAUAAGACUGGGAUAACUUCGGGAAACCGGAGCUAAUACCGGAUGAUAUUUUGAACCGCAUGGUUCAAAAGUGAAAGACGGUCUUGCUGUCACUUAUAGAUGGAUCCGCGCUGCAUUAGCUAGUUGGUAAGGUAACGGCUUACCAAGGCAACGAUGCAUAGCCGACCUGAGAGGGUGAUCGGCCACACUGGACUGAGACACGGUCCAGACUCCUACGGGAGGCAGCAGUAGGGAAUCUUCCGCAAUGGGCGAAAGCCUGACGGAGCAACGCCGCGUGAGUGAUGAAGGUCUUCGGAUCGUAAAACUCUGUUAUUAGGGAAGAACAUAUGUGUAAGUAACUGUGCACAUCUUGACGGUACCUAAUCAGAAAGCCACGGCUAACUACGUG
rnacentral:rRNA from 1 species